GACCUCUCAUUCUUUCAUUCUCGUCCUUGGAUUGGCCGCGAGACAUUUAUCCACUCUCUUUAGGCCUGCGCGUUGCAAGACGGGAGAAAAGGAGGGGCGUCCGCAGGCAAGAUGGAGCCGACUGUGGCCGGUGUGGGCCGGCUAGAGGAAGAGGCACUGCGGCGAAAGGAACGGCUGAAGGCCCUACGGGAGAAAACCGGCCGCAAGGACAAGGAAGAUGGGGAGCCAAAGACCAAGCAACUUAGAGAAGAGGAGGAAGAAGGCGAGAAGCACAGGGAACUUAGACUGCGGAACUAUGUCCCGGAGGAUGAGGACCUGAAGAAGAGGAGGGUGCCCCAGGCCAAACCGGUUGCAGUGGAAGAGAAGGUGAAGGAGCAGCUGGAGGCCGCCAAGCCCGAGCCUGUCAUCGAGGAGGUGGUGAGUGCCCGGGCUGCCCUGGCCUCCUUGCUGCUUCUGUGUGUCCUGUUUCUCUUCCCCACCUGCUCUCCCUCUGCCCGCUUCCUUCUUGUCACUUCUUUAUUCCCUUGCCACCUGCCUCUUUGUCCUUGUCCCUCUCCUUCCUCCUCCUCUUUCUCCCAUUUCUCUCCCUCUCUAGCCUGCCCUCCUCCUUCCCCUGGGGCAGCCUCUCCAUCCUGAUGUGUGUCUCCUCCCUCUUCAGGAUCUGGCCAACCUCGCUCCUCGGAAGCCUGACUGGGACCUCAAGAGAGAUGUGGCCAAGAAGCUGGAGAAACUAAAAAAGAGGACUCAGAGGGCCAUCGCCGAGCUGAUCCGUGAAAGACUGAAAGGUCAGGAAGACAGCCUAGCCUCUGCAGUGGACGCUGCCACCGAACAGAAGGCCUGUGACUCCGAUUGAGGCAUGCCCUGCCCUGCUACGUGCCUGUCAGGCCUGUCCUGCAGGGGGUGUUCUUGGGCAGGGAUUGGGGCGAGGCUUGCCAUCGCCUCCAGUUUGGCUUCUGAGCAGAGACUCCCUUCCUGUCAAGUCUGAAACCCCCCCAUGGGCGAGGUCAGCUCCUUGUCUCCUGAGUGGCCCCUGCCAUUCUAAACGGAGGCAGAACAGCAGCAACUCUGGGUGUGCCUGUGUCUGUACAUAUGUAUGUAUAUAUGUCUGUAUAUAUGUAUGUAUGUUGAACUUGGAAAAAAAAAAUCUCUGGAAAUAGACAAGAAAACCCCUGUGUGUGGCAGAAAUCUGUCAUGUAUUUCCUCAGUCUGGGGGUACUGUGGAUUUGGGCUCCACGACAGGGUGACUGCAGAGGUGGUACUUAGUAUGAAUAACCCCUGUGUUGGGCUGGGCAUGUUAAGGCUGGAGGGGUGGGGAAUGCUCAGCACUGCCUUCUGUGUCCAAGUCCUGGCCCAGUCCAUGGUCAUUGCGGUCAUCUCAAGAUCCUUGGGUGAUAGAGACAGGGUCUGAGAGAGUUCUUUUAAGACCUCCCCCAGGCCUAGGCCAUGUAGUAGUCUGUGGAGUAGCUGGAGAGACUCCCACCCUGGUUCUCUGGGGUCUUCUCACAGUGUGAGAGAGAGUGGACCUUGGCAAACCCCAACUCAGGGCAACUCUAGAUUUGAGGCUGCUGGCACUGUGUUCCCCACUCUGCCCAGCCCCAGGCAGCCCCUCUCCCUGCUCCACCAGUCAGAGCUAGACUACGGCCCUCUUGGGACAGAGCCCUUGCAUGGGAGGGAUGGCCCAUUCUGCUAGAGAUGGGGAUAUUGUAGGCUGGGUUUCAGGUGUGGUCAUGGACUUUAGAUCCCCAAGGUUCUGGCUUUAGGACAUGAGCCUCUUCUGUGGAGCAGACUCUCCAGGGUAACUGGCUGGCUGCAUCAUCUCUGACUGCAGGACUUGUGGCCAACUAGACUUGCAUCUCCUCCAGGACGGUUAAACCCUUGAGUUUCCUUUGGGAUUUCCCCUUGAGCCUCCUGCCUCUGCCCUAAGCCAUUCAGUGUGUUCUUCCUCUCCUAUUCCAGAAACACAAUGGCCCGUUUCUGGCAGACAGUGCCAAGCACUCUGGUCACAGAGGCAGAGUGGGUUUGUGCACACAGAGACAAGCACACUCACACAACCAGUGAAAAACCCUUUAAGUUAAAAUUAGCAACUAUUCUUGGAAGGUAAUUCCUGUGUGGAAAAGGAACAGAAACUUCUAGCUGUGGGUGAGGGCUAAAGUGGUAGGUGGCCAGCUUCUGCACUGAGUAGUAAGACAAGACCAAGACUCUGACUCCCACAUGGGGCAGAAGCCUUUCCAGUAUUUCCUAGGUCCAGGGGUACAUGCAGGACUGGAGCCAGGCUCCCUCUAUCCAGUUGGUAAAACUGAAGCCAGACUUCUUUUCCUGUGAAAAAAGGGGUGAAAACACUCCCUGCAUCUCCUGGAAUUGCGAUUGGAAACAGGAUGCUUGUCUGCAGCGGUGGAAGGACUUGGAUACCCAGUGACUGGCAACUAGGCUGCCACUGAGCACCAGCUCUGGGACUAGAGUAGGGUUAUCCAACAGUACCACAGUCCUGAGAGCUAACGAAACGUGUGCUUCUGAUUUUAUGACCCUGGAUGUUGUCCUGUAAGGAAAAACAGAAAGUACCAUGCAUCAUGAACACUCAAACAAAAAUUACAAAAUACAUGAGAAAAUCCAUGUCUUAAAGAAUGACCAGUAACCCAAGUGGGAGGAUUUAUACCCAAGGAAACUGAAGUAGUAACAGCCUAAAAGGCUUUAAAAAUGAGCAUUUGUUUUUGCAUCAGAGAGAUAAAAGAGGGUCUGGUACCCUUAAGAACAAAGGUUAGACAUAAGAAAGAACCGAUUAGAAAUCUUGGAAAGAAAGAAUAUAGCUCUUAAAACAAGAAACUUCCUAGAGAGCUAAGUAUUAACUUAAAGUCCAAGAAAGGGUUAGUAAAUGGGAAGUUAAAGCUGAGACGGUCACAUAGAAGGUGGCAGUGACAGAUAAAGAAGGCAAGAUGGAAGGUGGCUUGAGAACCUUGCCAUGCUGAUACAUGUUCUGUAGAUGACAGGAGUUCCAAGAAAAGGAAACCAGAGAAAGAAGUUAUUUGAAGAAAGAUUGGCCAACCACUUCUUUUUUUUUCUUAAGCAAUAAGAUACUUUGAAAGAGACCACAUUCCUAUGACUUGAAUUACUGUAUAUUGUUAUAAUUGUUUUCUCAGUUACUGUUAACUUGUUACUAUGCCUAAUUUAUAAAUUAAAUUUUAUCAUAGGUAUUUAUGUGUAAGAGAAAACAGUAUAUAUAAGGUUCAGUACUCGACACCAUUUCAGGCAUCCACUGGGGGUCUUGGCACAUGCCCCCCAUGGAUAAGGAAUGACUAUAUAGCACUAUAAUGUAUUAUGGCAAUUAAAAUCCUUGUAUCUGUGAAUUAGACAAAGGUGAAGAAACAAUUAGUGAAUGGGAAACUAGAUCUGAAGUUUUCCAAAAUGCAGCCCAGCAAGAUAAACAGAUCAGUAAUGUAAAGCAAGAGAUUGAGAGACGUGGAGAAUAGAAUGAAAAGAUCCAACAUAAAGUGAUGGAGUUCCAGGAGGAAAAAAAAAAGUGAAAAUGAGGCAGAGGCAAUGUUUAACAACAGUGGCUGAGAACGUCCAGAACUUUUGAAAAUCACCAAUUCACAGAUUCAGGAAGACCAGCAAGUCUCAAGCAGAUUGAUAGGAAAAAAUAUAAAUCCAAAUGUUCUGUUUCUUCAUCUGGGUGAUGAUUAGGUAUUUUUACUUUAUGAAUAUUCAUUGAGCUGUAUACAUAUGUUUUAUGCACUUUUCGUAUGUUUAUUCUAACUCAGCAAAUUUACUUUAAAAACCACACUUUUUAUUAAUCAUCAAUUGCUACACAUAAAUUACCCAAAACUCAGGGGCUUAAAGUAAUAAACACUUACUACCUCAGUUUUUGUAGGCCAGGAAUCAGGAGUGGCUUAGUUGGGUAGGUCUAGUGUGGGGUCAGUUGUGAAGCUGCACUCAUCUGAAGGCUGGACUGGGACUGGAGGAUCUGUUUGCAAGAUGACUUGUGGGGCUAUUGAAUGGAAGCCCCUGUGCCUUGCCACAUGGACUUCUUCACUGGCCCGAGUGUUCUCAAGACGUGGCUGGUGGCUUUCCCAGAGUGGCAAUCCAAAAGACAAAGCAGGAAGGAGUGUUGGGCUUCAGAUCUUAUGAUCUGGUCUUAGAAGUGAUAUUCUGCCACAUUCUAUUUGUUAGAAGCAAGUCACUACACCCAGCCCACACUUAAAGGAGAAGAAUUAGGUUCCACUUCCUGAAGGGGGGACCGUCUAAGAAUUUGGGGACUUCUUUUAAAACUACCACAUACGUAAUCACAUUGUGGUAACAUUAAAGAGCACAAAGACCAAGAAAAUAUCUUAAAAUUGGAGAGAAAAGACAUAUUACCUUUCAAGGAACAACACAGCAGCAGAUGUCUCAGCUAUAACCAAUGUUAACAGGAAUGAGAGAAAAUUGUCAUCCUAGAAUUGCAUACUCACUAACGAUGAGACGUGGUUUUUGUUUUUUAUAGAGAUGGGGUCUCACUAUGUUGCCCAGGGUGAUGUUGAACUCCUGAGCUCAAGUGAUCUGCCCACCUCGGCCUCUCAAAGUGCUGGGAUUACAGGCAUGAGCCACUGCGCCAGACCUAAGAUGUUUUUUAGACCCACAAGGUCAGAGAUUCUGUCACCAGCAGACUCUCACUAAACAAAAAUCUAUUUUGGGGUAAUGAAAAUGUUCUAAAAGUGAUUGUGGUUGCACAAGUCUGUGAAUAUGCUGAAUAUGCCAAGGGCCAUUGAAUUGUACCCUUUAGUGGGCGAACUGUAUACAUAUAAAGCUGUUUUAAAAAAUAAACAUUCUUCUUUGAAAAAAAAUCAUAAAGGGUAUUUUCAGACUGAGGGGUCACAAUCCCAGUUGGAAAGUAUAAAUGUAAAUAAGCACUGACCUUAUAAAACAAAACUGUGUUGUGAGGUAAAGCAAGGGCUAUUUAGAAUACAUAACAGUGGUAUAUAAGUUCAAAGGUAGGAGGUGGUUAGGGUUACAGUCCUUGAAGAAGCUCACUCAGGAAGAGGGGUAAGACUGGGAAACAGGCCGGCUGACAUUUCCACAUUUCAGGGUAGCCUGAAAAGAGUAGAAACAGAGCGUACUACUUUUAGAGGAGAUAAGAAAAAAAAAA